rnacentral:rRNA from 1 species
AACUAACUAGGAUUUCUCUAGUAACUGCGAGUGAAACGGAAAGAGCUCAGCGUCGAAACCGUAUUUAACUUGUUUAGUGCGGUGUUGUGACGUACAGAUUCAAUCAUGCGCGUUUUGUUGACAAUACGAAUUUCCUUUGACUAGGGAUCCAAAGCGGGUGCUAGACCUGUACGUAUUGCUAAUUUAGCGUGCGCGUUUGUUUCUUUGAGUAGGGUUGUUUGAGAUCGCAGCCCAAAGUAGGUGGUAUACUUCAUCUAAAGCUAAAUACGACUACGAAUCCGAUAGUAAACAAGUACCGUGAGGGAAAGUUGCAAAGUACUUUGAAGAGAGAGUUCAAGAGGACGUGAAACCGAUAGGAUGGAAGCAGAUGAAGUUGACGAACGUGUGUUGUAUUCAGAGUUACAUUUAUGUGUAAUUUGUUUUUGCGACCAAUGUGGGCUGACGUAUUCGGUUAAUGCGAUGUGCUUAGCAAUGAUGGCGGCCCUGCGGAGGGAUUACCAAUCAGUGUACGGUGCUCGGUAUAGCUGGAUUUUUCGUCGGUCUCAAAGUCAAUGCCUCAUCUGACCCGUCUUGAAACACGGACCAAGGAGUGUAGCGUUUACGCAAGUCUUAGAGUGUGUCAAAACUUUGAGGCGUAACGAAAGUAAAGAUAGCUUCGGGUUAUUAACAUGGGAUGCGUUGUUUCGUGUAAACGGCGUCGGACUAUGGUUCUGUCGUGAUUGCUUGCAAUGCGGCGGAAAAAGAGCGUAAACGGUGCGACCCGAAAGAUGGUGAACUAUGCUUGAGCAGGAUGAAGCCGGAGGAAACUCUGGUGGAAGUCCGAAACGGUUCUGACGUGCAAAUCGAUCGUCUGACUUGGGUAUAGGGGCGAAAGACUAAUCGAACCAUCUAGUAGCUG